UCUCAGAUGUGGCAGCAAUAAUGACCCAUUACAAGCUGAUGUGGGUCAUGCUUGGAAAUCUCCGGAGGGCUGUGGAUGGAUUGAGACAACUCUGCUAUGCUGAACAACACGUGCGGGAGAAUUAGAUUGUUCUGUGAACUGAGCUUCAGCAUUUUCCACAGGCAAAUCAAAAACCUUAUAUCUGAAAAUAUAAGUACAAGUGUCAAAUAAUUUAGAUCCACAACAAAGCGAUCAGGCAAACAGACAUCUUUUAAUUCUUCUUCACUUUCCUCUCCCCUCUCUGUCCAGACUAAGAAAUCUCCUCAAAGCUGAAAUCCUGGCUGAUAAGUGGAUCAGGACUGGCAGAUGUCUCUCAACCACUCAUCUUUUGCUCACAGAAGUCAGCAAAGCCCUUCUUUCAUUCACCUCUCUGCUUUAUGGCCCUUGGUCGCUGGAGCUGCUGCAGGACUGCAGGAGGGUGGUUGCACUGAGAUGCAAUCACGGACUCUAGGCACAUGUCUGACUGAAUGUGAUGCUUGAAAGAGCAUCAGAAACCUGGAGACAACUUUAUCUCAGUGGCAGUGAAGUGCGUGAGAAAAUUAAUGAGAACAAUCUAUUACUGGAAACAGUCUUUUCAACAAAGCUGAAGUUAUUCAAGCAUAUUGCUGCAUUAAGGACAGUCCCCAGAGAGAGACAGCUCUGGAGCAGCAGAAGCAAUCCAUGA
rnacentral:lncRNA from 1 species